CCCUUAGACGUUCUGGGCCGCACGCGCGCUACACUGACCAGUGCAACAAGCAUCCGUCCUUGGCCGACAGGCUCAGGCAAUCUUUGAACGCUGGUCGUGAUGGGGAUAGACUUUUGCAAUUUUUGGUCUUCAACGAGGAAUUCCUAGUAAACGCAAGUCAUCAACUUGCAUUGAUUACGUCCCUGCCCUUUGUACACACCGCCCGUCGCACCUACCGAUUGAAUGGUCCGGUGAAGCCUCCGGAUUGGCGCGCACCUCGGUGCCGCCGAGAAGUUGGCUAAACCUUACCAUUUAGAGGAAGGUGAAGUCGUAACA
rnacentral:rRNA from 1 species